UGUAUUAUUUUAUAGAUUUUUCCUAGAUACUUUGCAUUUUUUAUGCCAUUGUAACUAUCUUUUUUCUUUUUUUAUUGUCUAUUGCUGGUGCUUAGAAACCCAAUUGAUUCUUGUGUUCAGCAACCUUGCCAAAAACACUUAAUUCUAGUGAUGUAUUUCUGGCUUCUUUCAUAUUUUUCUGUUAUGCAAUCAUAUCUCUAUGAGUAGUAAAAGUUUUGUUUCUUUUCAGUUUUUAUGUAUUUUCCGUGUCUUACUGUGCUUGUUGGGAUUUGUUGUGCAGUGUUGACUGGAGGUGAUAAUAGUGGACUUCCUGCCCAUGUUUCUGAUUUCAAGGGGAACACUCUCAAGUGUUUCAUCAGUAAGUAUGGUAUUUGCUGAAGGUGUUUUUAUAAAUGCCCUUUAUCAAGUUAACAAAGUUACUUUAUACUACUGCAUCUGUUGAGAUGAUCAUAUGUGUUUUUUUCCAUCUUUGAGAUGUUAAAUUAAGUUAAUCGGUUUUCUGAAGUACCCUUGCAUUCCUAGGGUAAACUCCAAUCUUUCAUGAUAUAUUAUUCUUAUGCGUUGCUGGAUUUAGUUUAUCGUGUGUGCGUGCACAUACACACACUUCAUUUGCAUAUCUGUGUAUGUAUCGUGUGUGUAUGGGUGUUUAUGUGUAUAUAUAUUUGAGGUGUUUUUCAUCUGUGUUCAUGAGUUAAUUAUUAAGGUUAUGCUAACCUAUAAAGUCAGUGAUAGGUCUUCCUCUUUCUGUUUCUAAAAAAGUUUUGUAAGACUGGAAUUAUUUCCUCUUUGAAUAUUUGACAGAACUACCUGAAAGCCACAUGACCAUGAAGUUUUCUUUUUGGGAAGAUUUCUGAUCACUGGCUCAAUUUAUUUAAUGAUUAUGGAUCUAUUCAGAUUUUCUCUUUCUUUUAAAGUCAGUUUUGAUUGUGUUAUUUUAGAUAAGGUGCAGUCUUCCAGGAGUUUAUAGUGAUAAAUUUGAAAAUUUAGAUGAAAUAUACAAAGUUGUUUACAAUAUCCUCUUAUAUCUGUAAUAUGUACAGGAUCUGUAGUGAUAACCCUUCUUUCAUUCCAGAUAUUAUUUGUGCCUUUUGUUUUUCCUUGAUUAACCUUGCCAGAGGCUGACCAAUUUUUUCAGUCCUUUCAAAUAACUCACUCUUGCCAGCCACGUGUGAGGAAUCCAGUUGUGUCACAUUGUCCCAACAUAGUAUUUUCAAUGUUUUCAAUUUAGACCCUUUAAUCUCUAUUGAGUAUGUACAGUUCUCUCAUUUUGGUUUUAUUAGUUUAUUACUAGGGAGAUGAUAUCUUUUCAUGUGCUUAUUGGCUACUUGAAGAUCUUCUUUUCUGAAAUGCCUAGUAAAAAUUUUUUACCUGUUUUUAAAUUGCCUUUUUUUUUUUUUUUUUUUUUUUAAUUGAUUGGUAAGAAUUACUUCUGUAUUCUGGAUCAAGUCUUUUGUCAGGUUAUGUAUUGCAAAUACCUUCCCUGAGGCAGGGGACUGUUUUCAUUCUCUUAAUGCUAUCUGUUAGUAAACAAAACCUGUUAAUUUUAAUGUCCAUUUUAUCAUUUUUCUUUCUUUUAUAGCCAGUGGUUUUGGUAUCCAAUUUAAGAAACCUUUGCCUGCUCCAAAGUAAAGAAGAAAUUUUCCUGUUUUCUUUUAGGUGCUUUAUUAAGAUUGCUUAUAACUUCCCUUCUCAUCUUUGUUGCACCAUUCAUACUUAGAUCUAUGAUGCAUCUAGAAAUAAUUUAUGUAUAUAGUGUGGGAGUCAAGAGUCAAUCUUUAGAAUUUCAGUGAAGGUCUGCUGAUAGCAAACUCCGUUUUGGUUCAUAAAUAUCUUUAUCUCAUUUAAAAAAUAUUUUUUGAAGAGUAUAGAAUUCUAGGUUGGGAAUUUUUUUUUAGCACAUUGAUGUUAUUCUGCUGUCUUCUGGCUUCAGUUAUUUCCCUCAUAAGUAAGUUAUCAGCUUAAGGUUGAUAUUCCUUUGAAAGUAAUCAACUUUUUUUUCCUGGCUGCCUUCAGGAUCUCCUCUUUGUUCUGUAUCACUAGGAUAUGUGUGUUUGUAGAGUUUUGGGGGUUUUUUGUUUUUGUUUUUUUUCUGAUCCUGCUUGAGAUUCUUUGGGCCCCUUGGAUUAUUAUUGUCUUUUAUCAGUUCUGAAAGAUAUUCAGCUAUUAUAUUUCAUUGUCUUUACCUCAUUCUUUCAAAAGCUCCAAUAACAUGUUAGACCUAUUGUUGUGUUCUCCGUGCCCUUUAUGUCUCGUUUCAUAUUUUCCAAUUUUACACUCUCGUAAUUUCUUCAGAAUUAUGACCAAAUUUGGAGAAGAGCCUCUAUUCGUUCUUUAAGAAAUGAAAAUGAAUUUUUUAAAUCCCACGUUUUCUUAUACACUUGACAACACUGUUUCCUCAACAUUGUUGCUUAAGAUCCAUACGUAAGAGUUUGGGGUAUGUUAAGAUAGAUAUUUAGGGGAGAGGGGCUGGUAGCCCUUCACCUUCCUCACAUUAUCAUGACUUCCUUUCUGGGAAUAAAAACAGAAAUCGUGUUGGUAUGAUCUAAGGUCACUAGCCUGUAUGUGGGUAAUAGGUUUUUCAUUUAGAAAGUAGUUCAGAAUCCCCAAUUUGUGGGAUUUUUCCUCAUAUAUGUAUAUACUGAUUAAAUUUAACACAAGUGACUUUUCAGUAAUGUUAGAAUAUAUUAACCAGAACAUCAGUUGUCCCUUUGAGAAGGUCACUUAUAAUUCUUGUGUCACUUUUCCCAGGAGAUUCUGCUCUGUGGGAGAAGUGGGGUUCAGUUUCAUCAGUGGUGCCACUGCAUGUACCCAGCUAACACUGACUGCUUCUAGUGAACCAGGCACUGCACUUUCUGCCGUGUAACAUUACAACAACCCCAUGAGACAGAGAGUAUUGUAAUUUCAUCUCAAUCUUAAGAAAAUGGAAGCUUUAAAAGACAAACAACUUUUCCAAGUAUACCCUGCUGAGAACUGGAAACUAGGAUUCGAAUCCUAAUAGUUUAACUUUUGAUUUCUUGCUCUUAUGCUUAUCCUGUCUUGCCUCCCUGGGGAACAGGACAUUAUUUUUAUAUAUAGGUGUAAUGGGUAUAUAUUUCACAAAUAAUCUUAGUUUUGUCACAGAAGUCUCUAUGGCCUUAGGAGAGAUCCUUAGCUUAUUUCCUGUCACAUGAUGCUGUAACAUAGAUUUGUUCUUCAAAUGUGUGUGUGAAGUGAAAGGCAGCAUUCAGUCAUCAUAUGGUGGUGGUAGGAGCUGCACACCUUGCUGAUCGCUGGCCACACAGCUACACAAGUGGCUCCUACUCAGAAAGCCAAGACUGGUGGGCAAGAUGGAUGCCAAUGGUAUAAGGUGAGAAAACAGAUGGGGCCCAGAGGAGCACAGAGCACCACUCACCAGAGAAGCUGUAAGGGGACUCUGGAAGAAUGUGUGCGAGCACAGGACCAUAGUACAUUAAAGGACGUGCACUAGUGACGUGGAGGUUUGAUGUGUGCAAAGCAGAGUGCACCUGGGACAAGUGGGCUGUGAGGAUCAGCAGAGGAGCUUCCCAAACACUCUAGAUUCCCCAACCCCGUUUUCCCCUUUAGCGAGCCUGCAGAGGGACCCUGAGAUCGGUUUGAGCAAGUGCCCAGUGCUGCUAAUGCUGCUGUCAAAGAGCCACACCUUGAGAAGCAUGCCCUAGAGGGACUACCCUGUGGGUGCAGGAGCACCGCAGCUAGCCAAGAGAGCUCGCCAUGCACUUCCAGCUCAAGCUCCACGGCCAAGGCACACACUGAAGGAUGUGCUGCCCCUUCUUCAGCUGAGGGCUGAGGGCGACGUCCAUAUCGGAUUGGGGAGCCACCCCUUCCUGAGGCCUCACCUCCACAUCUCCAGGCUCUCCUAGGAGCUUUGGGACUUAGCAACUAACUGACCCAUCCUCACUUGGGCAUCUCGGCUGCAGGCUCCUGGGAAGCCAGGCAUACGGAGAGAAACAAGGGUGAGUAGUUCUGAGUCUGCUUGUGCAGAAUGAAAGCCCUGCUGUGAGGGAGAGAGAGAGCAGAUGGCCCACCUCUGGCUUUUGAGGGAUCAGGACUUGCCCUCCCACAGCCAGAAAGACAGAAAAUGGAGUGUACUCAAGUUUGGGUAUGGAAAAUACCUCCAAAUGCUGGGUAGUUUUCUGUGAGUGGGCUCCAGCAGUCUGGUCUGGCUAAUAUUCUGUUUCAGAUUCCCUUAGGGGAGCCCCCCACCCAGAGGGAAGGAGGAGGCAGUCUGCUAGAAUACUGCUUUGUAAGUUGCUUCUUUUCAUUUUGUACUGGAGUUUCAGGAACUGCUUUAAAUGUCCCUAUCCUCAAGUCUACUUUGUACUCUCUUCAUUACAGCUCAGUGUACCUUUCCGUUAUAGCCUGGGAAACACAAUUCCACCACACCCUCCCCCCUUACAUUUAUUUUAGAUUUUCUCUUUUCCUAAAAUGUAGUUGAAGAACAAUUUGCCAGACAUAUUCCAAUGGAAAUAUGCUGCCAGGUAUCCCCCUGCCCCUCCCCGACCCCCUAAAUCCCUGAUAAAGGAAAAUGAAAAUGUAAACUUUGGAAAGCCUGUACUCAGGGUUUGCUUCUAGAAGUAUGCAAAUGAGGCCCCCUGGCCAGCCAAGCCCUUCUUGCUAGAACCUCUCUGGCCUAGGUUUUGAGGGCAGGUACUUUGUGGCCCAGGGCAGAGCUUUCCUGGCAUUUCCCUGGCACUGGCUGGCUGAGGGCUAAAAGAAUAGAGUGGGAGACCGGCCCUCCAGUACUCUCUAAGGCACUAACCCCGACAUCAGAGACACUGGCUGGAAGGGCGUCCAAGCAGGCAGGGCUCACAUUGGUUUUGGUUGGGUUUUUUUUUUUUUAAUAUUUUUUCGUAAGAUGUUAAUAAUCAAAAGUAGAAAAUAAAAAUCUACAUUUCAUUAGAAUAAGAUGUUAUCAUGGAUGCCAUCUCCCAUGAUACUCUUUCCCCCACCCUCCCCGAAGCAGGGCCCUGCCCUGUUAUUUAAAAUAAACAAACAAAAAAACUUUUGUAAGUGCCAAAGGUUGAUGCAUGAAAUAAUUAUUUUUUUUUUUUUCAUAAAAGUUAUAUACAAAAUGGACCCCAACCAGUGAGGCCUCCUCAUCUCAACCCUUAUCAAUCAAGAUUAAAACUCAGUGCAUGUGUGUGCUUCGUCCAGCGUCUGCAGGCUGCAUCCGUGCCUUCAGGCUCUGUUAAGGAGAGUCGUCCUAAAGGACCUUCGCUUUCAAAGGAGGCGAUGAAGAGAGCUGAGAGAAGAAGCCCCUCAGAACCCACGUCCACAUGCAGUCAGUCUGCCUACCACACCAGUUGUCCCUUCCUUUCUAGGGGUACAACUGGGCCUGGGAAGGGACA